UACAGAGGUCUCAAGCGUUGUUCGGAUUCAUUGGGCGUAAAGGGUGUGUAGGUGGCGCGCUAAGUCGGGUGUGAAAUUUCGGAGCUUAACUCCGAAACUGCAUUCGAUACUGGCGUGCUUGAGGACUGGAGAGGAGACUGGAAUUCAUGGUGUAGCAGUGAAAUGCGUAGAUAUCGUAAGGAAGACCAGUGGCGAAGGCGAGUCUCUGGACAGCAACUGACGCUGAGGCACGAAGGCCAGGGGAGCAAACGGG
rnacentral:rRNA from 1 species